rnacentral:rRNA from 1 species
GACGAACGCUGGCGGCGUGCUUAACACAUGCAAGUCGAACGGAAAGGCCCUGCUUUUGUGGGGUGCUCGAGUGGCGAACGGGUGAGUAACACGUGAGUAACCUGCCCUUGACUUUGGGAUCACUUCAGGAAACUGGGGCUAAUACCGGAUAGGAGCUCCUGCUGCAUGGUGGGGGUUGGAAAGUUUCGGCGGUUGGGGAUGGACUCGCGGCUUAUCAGCUUGUUGGUGGGGUAGUGGCUUACCAAGGCUUUGACGGGUAGCCGGCCUGAGAGGGUGACCGGCCACAUUGGGACUGAGAUACGGCCCAGACUCCUACGGGAGGCAGCAGUGGAGAAUAUUGCACAAUGGGCGGAAGCCUGAUGCAGCAACGCCGCGUGCUGGAUGACGGCCUUCGGGUUGUAAACCGCUUUCGCCUGUGACGAAGCGUGUGUGACGGUAAUGGGUAGAGAAGCACCGGCUAACUACGUG